rnacentral:rRNA from 1 species
GACGAACGCUGGCGGCGUGCCUAACACAUGCAAGUCGAACGGGGUCCAUGGGAGCUUGCUCCCGGAAGACCUAGUGGCGAACGGGUGAGUAACACGUGAGAGACCUGCCCUGGAGUGGGGAAUAACUCGGGGAAACUCGAGCUAAUACCGCAUACCCUCGGAUGGUCGCAUGGCCGACCGAGGAAAGAUUCAUCGCUUCAGGAGGGUCUCGCGGCCUAUCAGCUAGUUGGUGGGGUAACGGCCUACCAAGGCAACGACGGGUAGCUGGUUUGAGAGAACGAUCAGCCACACUGGGACUGAGACACGGCCCAGACUCCUACGGGAGGCAGCAGUGGGGAAUCUUGCGCAAUGGGCGAAAGCCUGACGCAGCAACGCCGCGUGCGGGAUGACGGCCUCUGGUUGUAACCGACUUCUAGCAGGGACGGAAAAUAGACGGUACCGUGCAGAAGAAGACCCGG